rnacentral:rRNA from 1 species
CCAACUUCUGAAAAUUGACCUCGA